rnacentral:ribozyme from 13 species
UUUUUUUUUUUUUUUUUUUUUUUUUCUUCC